rnacentral:rRNA from 1 species
UGGGGAAUAUUGCACAAUGGGCGCAAGCCUGAUGCAGCCAUGCCGCGUGUAUGAAGAAGGCCUUCGGGUUGUAAAGUUCUUUCAGUCGGGAGGAAGGUGGUAAGGUUAAUAACCUUAUCAAUUGACGUUACCGACAGAAGAAGCACCGGCUAACUCCGUGCCAGCAGCCGCGGUAAUACGGAGGGUGCAAGCGUUAAUCGGAAUUACUGGGCGUAAAGCGCACGCAGGCGGUUGAUUGAGUCAGAUGUGAAAUCCCCGGGCUUAACCCGGGAAUUGCAUCUGAUACUGGUCAGCUAGAGUCUUGUAGAGGGGGGUAGAAUUCCAUGUGUAGCGGUGAAAUGCGUAGAGAUGUGGAGGAAUACCGGUGGCGAAGGCGGCCCCCUGGACAAAGACUGACGCUCAGGUGCGAAAGCGUGGGGAGCAAACAGG